UAGGGAAUCUUCGGCAAUGGACGGAAGUCUGACCGAGCAACGCCGCGUGAGUGAAGAAGGUUUUCGGAUCGUAAAGCUCUGUUGUAAGAGAAGAACGAGUGUGAGAGUGGAAAGUUCACACUGUGACGGUAUCUUACCAGAAAGGGACGGCUAACUACGUGCCAGCAGCCGCGGUAAUACGUAGGUCCCGAGCGCUGUCCGGAUUUAUUGGGCGUAAAGCGAGCGCAGGCGGUUAGAUAAGUCUGAAGUUAAAGGCUGUGGCUUAACCAUAGUACGCUUUGGAAACUGUUUAACUUGAGUGCAAGAGGGGAGAGUGGAAUUCCAUGUAUAGCGGUGAAAUGCGUAGAUAUAUGGAGGAACACCGGUGGCGAAAGCGGCUCUCUGGUCUGUAACUGACGCUGAGGCUCGAAAGCGUGGGGAGCGAACAGGAUUAGAUACCCUGGUAGUCCACGCCGUAAACGAUGAGUGCUAGGUGUUAGGUCCUUUCCGGGACUUAGUGCCGCAGCUAACGCAUUAAGCACUCCGCCUGGGGAGUACGACCGCAAGGUUG
rnacentral:rRNA from 1 species